AUUAAGUGAUAUAUGAUACUAUUAACCAGUUUUUCUACCAUGUCCAGGUUACCUGUACCUGGCCAUAGGUUCGCCCCUCACGGUAACCUGUUGGACUUCCUGAGGAAGGCAGAGUGUUGGAGACUGACCCGGCCUUCGCUAUCCAACAGCACCGCCUCCACCCUCACCUCACAACCGCUGCUGCACUUUGCUGCCGACGUGGCCCGGGGCAUGGACUACCUGGCUCACGAAACAGUUCAUCCACAGAGACCUGGCAGCCAGGAACCCUGGUGGGAGACAACUUUGUGGCCAAGAUAGCCGACUUUGGUCUGUCCAGAGGUCAGGAGGUCUAUGUGAAGAAGACGAUGGGACGGUUACCUGUCAGGUGGAUGGCCAUAGAAUCAUGAACUACCGUGUCACACCACCAACAGUGAUGUGUGAGUACUGCAUCUUUCAUCUAUUUAAAAAAAAUGGGAAUGGAAUGUUCUUAGAAGUAAGUGUCCAGACACCUUUUUUGUGAUUUCCCUAGUUUUUGUGAAACUUACCCUAAACAGCAAAUCACUUCCUCAUACUCGUUGUGUAUUAUGGGGGGCCCUGAAAAUCAUGAACAAAGGCUCCCAAAAAACACCCCCAAAACGUCCUUUUAGAAAGGGAAAAGCUCUCGAACCAGUGAUGCAGGUCUUCGUUUAAACUGUUUCAUACCGAAUACGCUAAGCUGUUUCAUACCGAAUACGCUAAGCUGUUUAUACUGAUCUUUAUCCGCAACGUUACAGUGGGGCAAAAAAGUAUUAGUCAGCCACAAUUGUGCAAGUUCUCCCACUUAAAAAGAUGAGAGGCCCUGUAAUUUUCAUCAUAGGUACACUUCAACUAUGACAGACAAAAUGAGGGAAAAAAAUCCAGAAAAUCACAUUGUAGGAUUUUUAAUGAAUUUAUUUGCAAAUUAUGGUGGAAAAUAAGUAUUUGGUAAUGUACAAACAAGCAAGAUUUCUGGCUUUCACAGACCUGUAACCUUCUUCUUUAAGAGGCUCCUCUGUCCUCCACUCAUUA
rnacentral:lncRNA from 1 species